AUGUAUCAUAAACAAUAACAACACUAAGAAAAUAAGACAAAAACAUAAAACAACAAAAAUCUGCAAAUGUGAUGCAGCUGGAUAUCACUACCAGAGGUGCAGACAUGUUUUAGACUGUUUGACUCAGAAGACCUGCCACCCGAUUUGGACAUAGAGGAGGAUUCUGUUCAUCUUCAGAACAAAAACUGGUACAGUUUGUUUACUUUUCUUAAAAAUUUCAUUUGUGUGCUCCACUGGGAGCUCAAUGCUGACAAGUUUUCAGCUGGUCUUAGCUCCAUCAUGUGUCCCAAUCAAGCCCCCAAAAUGCGGGACAGAAAUUGAGGCCAAUGCGGAAGUGAAAUAAAUUGCAGUUCCUCCCUCAUCUACUAGAGUGGAACUGCCAUUUUUCAUCCACUAUGCUGGUGUCAGAAGCGAGCAAAUCCUCAUUGACUCCCAUGUUAAAAUACCAAUUUCACAGCAGAAAUAAACAUGUUUACAGCCUGGUACCAGAACAUGUUUUUUGUUUAAAUUAUCUAGUUUACACUCAUGACAACUCUGAGGGGGUGAAUUUUUUUCUCACUCUUCUUGGUUUUCCAUAGACUCCAAUAACACGUUUUUGAAGAGAAAUGGGAGGUGGCCACCACCGCCAUUUUGACCAUGUCACAGGUUCCGUCAAGCCCAGACAAUUCCACCAAAGGGAAAAGAGGUGGAGCUGAGGGUGGGGCUGUAAGGCUGGGAUCAACUGACGACACCCGGUCGAACUAGCUACAAGCUAACCUGAAGCUAACCCAAAGCUAAUGCGGAGGUGGAAGCUAAGCUAACAGAGGUAGCAACCUAGCUACUACCGGAGUUAACUGUGCACAACACCAGAGCUUCUGAGUCAGAGAUACGCCGGGCUGACCGCUGGGUAAAACCGAGUGGAACACAGAGGUCUCCGAGACCUCCACAAGCCGGCAGCCGCACAGCAGACAAGCGCCGCUGCGAUCUGAGAUGUGCAGAGCUGCCGCUGGGGAAAACCGGGUGGAAAGGUUUCCAUCCCAGAGCUCCACAAGCCGUCAGCCCACGCAGCAGUCAGAAGCCGCGAUCAGACAGAUGCGCUGAGCUGCAGGGAGACCCAGCCGGCAGCCCGCGCAUCAAACAGAAGCCGCGAUCAGACAGAGAUGCGCUGAGUUGCGGGGAGAACCAGCCAGCAGCCCGCGCAGGAGACAGAAGCCGCGAUCAGACAGAGAUGCGCCGGGCUGCGGUGAGGGGAGAACCAGGUGGAAAACAGAGGUCACCCGAGAGCUCCACAAGCCGAUAGUCGCAACCCAGUUCCACCAACAUGUUAUAUUUCAACCCAUUUUCUAAAGUGCAGCAUUAUGUUGAGUGCACUGGGUUUUACCCUAUUACAUUUAAAUGUCAUGGUUAAACAGUACAUGUUAAAAUCUAAGCUCAGCUCGGCAGUGACCUAAAAUACAUAAAUAUAAUUUUACUUACCGAAAAAAAUCAAGUGGAGACUCCUUGGACGCUCUAUUAGUGCAAUUACUGGGUUUUAGUCACGUUGUUAAAAUGACGCACGGAUUUUGGUUGGAGGGCAGGAAGUAAACAGCAGAGUACAGCUAUGGAGGAAACCGCAGAAGAGAGUCCUCAUUGCAUGUCUUUAGACUCAGUUUCGAAACAAAGGUACACGGAUUUAACAAACUAAUAUGUUGGUCGUGAUCCAUAUUUAAUGAAAAUGAGUGAGUUUACCCCAGAAUUAAUGGCUUUGCCGAGAAUAGAGUCUGUUGAUAUUACAAACUACCUGGUCCUUCAGACAUCGUUCUACACUAAACAACAAAUGAAAGCAUAUAAAAGUCUGGAGGCAUAUAAUUUUUUUGUUAGUGGGUGGGUCCACAAUCUCGGUACUAAACGGCUCUGUGAUGAUUAUCGUCUGGUAUUCGCCAGGGUGAGUUUUUGUCUUUAGAUUGAUUUAUACGUAAAUUUGUUAGCAGCUAGCCUAGCGUGCCAGACUCGUGCUCUUGUUUAAUUCUACACAGAGAACUAUCAUUCUGUGUAGAAUUAAAUGGAGUACGAGUCUGGCAGGCUAGGCUAGUUAGCAGCUAGGAUGAUUUACGUCAACACGCAGUAACAACGUCAUUAGCCUGACAGUCGUUGAUGUUUCAAGGUAAACCACUCACAAAGAUCAAGUGAAACACCUCUGAAGACGUGGAUUAUUUUGAAGGAAGAUGGUGAAAUUACUGCAGCUCAUUGCAACUGCAUGGCAGGACUAUCGGAGUCAUGUUCUCAUGUGGGGGCAGUCCUGUUCUCCAUUGAAGCCGGGGUGAGAAUGCGAGACUCUGCUUCUUGUACAUCUGAGCAGUGCAAGUGGUUGAUGCCAUCACAUGUUAAAAAGAUUCCUGCUGCCCCCGUUGCUAUGAUUGACUUCUCCUCAGCAAAGUCCAAGAAACUAAAGCUUGACCGUUCCAUUGAUGGCAGGACAACCGACAGCAAGCCUGUGAAAUCGCUUCUGUGUCCAAGGGUGAAGAAGGGAUCGGAAACCUAUAAUAGGUUUUUUGAUGCCUUAAGUAAAAACUGUCCAAAGAGUGCAGCACUGAUGGCACGGGAGCCUUACUACAAAGAAUUCAUCCCCAAAUCUAGUAUGCUCCCUAAAACUAUUCUUGACUAUAGAACUUCAGAAACUUUGCAGUUACCACCCAAAGAGCUUGCAGAGCUGUGCCAGGAGUUCCAGUUUGAAGAGCUCACCCCGUCCCAAGUCCAGGCUGUAGAGAGGGCUACCCGAGAUCAGAGUGCAAGCAGGAUUUGGUUUAGGCAGAGAGCUGGACGCAUCACUGCAUCAAAGAUGAGAAGAGUUCUUAGAACCAGCCCCCAGCAACCCUCCAAGAGCUUGAUCAUGGCUAUAUGCUACCCAGAAGCAUAGAGGUUCACCACAUAUGCCACAAGUUAUGGAUGCCAACAUGAAUCACAGGCCAGAGGAGCGUAUGAGAAGCUAAUGGGUCGGGAGCAUGUGUGAACAGUGGUCUCUGGCUGAACCCCAGGUGGCCAUACAUGGGCUCCUCCCCAGAUGGUGUAGUCACUUGUGACUGCCAUGGAACUGGCAUCUGCGAAAUUAAGUGUCCACAUUCUGAGCAAGAUGAGCCCAGUCUGCGAUUGUGCGCUGGGAGAAGGGGCUUCUGCCUCAUCGGUGAAGGAGAUCAUGUUACGCUGGAUCGGAAUCAUGACUACUACUUCCAAGUUCAGGCACAGCUUCACAUUGUAAAGGCAGAGUACAGCGACUUUGUUGUGUGGAACCACAAAGACCUUUUUGUUGAAAGGAUUUUGCCUGAUGUUGAGUUUUGGGAGGAUGCGAUUCCAAAAGCUGAGUGUUUCUUUAGAAACAGCAUACUUCCAGAAAUACUCGGACAGCAAGUUACAAUCUUGCAUAAAAGUGAUUGAUGUCAGAUUCCCCAGAGUUUGAUGGGGGGGGGGCUAUUUGUAACCAGCACAGUCAGUCUUCUGUUCUGGCAGCAGUCGGCUUCCUUUAGUUUAGCAUAAAACAAUGUUGUUUAUUGUUAAAAACAAAAAGCGACUACUUUCCGUUCAUCUACUUUUAUACUAAAGCAAAAUGACUGCUACCAGAUCAGGAUAAUGACUAAGCUGGUUACAAAUUGCUUACUCAUUUAACUCUGGGUAAUCUAACAAUAGACAAAAUUUUAGCUAGGAGUGGUGUAUCUCUUUAACCCUCCCACUGUCC